CAGGUAUGAAGUUAUGUUUGACGAAGACGACGUUAGCAAGGUUACCCUUCCGGCUUGGCCUGGGCAGGGUUAUGGACGCCAUCGUUUAUCUUUAGGACUCUUAGUCCAAUUUGUAUCUUGUCCGUACUCGGAUGUAUUCGCUCUUAUGUAUGAUUUGGAUCUUUGUAUGUAUCUAUUUGUAUCUUGACUCGUUGGAGUCGUUGUUGUAAUA